GUACACGCUGUGACUAGCAUAUCAAUAAGCGGAGGAAAAGAAACUAACAAGGAUUUCCCUUAGUAACGGCGAGUGAAGCGGGAAGAGCUCAAAUUUGAAAUCUUCAAGGUUUUACCUUGACGAAUUGUAGUUUAAAGAAGUGUUUUCUGCUGAAGUUUUGGUAAAAGUUCUUUGGAAUAGGACAUCAUAGAGGGUGAGAAUCCCGUAUUUGACCAUUAUUUUCAGCUUUGUGAUACACUUUCAAAGAGUCGGAUUGUUUGGGAAUGCAGUCCAAAAUGGGUGGUAAAUUUCAUCUAAAGCUAAAUAUUGGCGAGAGACCGAUAGCGAACAAGUACCGUGAGGGAAAGAUGAAAAGAACUUUGAAAAGAGAGUUAAACAGUACGUGAAAUUGUCAAAAGGGAAGCGUUUGACACCAGUGUUGUUUUCUCGAAAAUCAAUUAAAAAUGGCUCGAUUUUGUAUUGCUGAGACCUUAAAAGCUCACUGUACAUUUUUCGUGUCUUUUUUAAUGCACUUUUCGUUUAACAAGUCAACAUCAGUUUCUUUUGUUGUAAAAGGGUCAUUGGAAGGUGGCUUUCUUUUCGGAGAAAGUGUUUAUAGCCUUUGGCCUCUGCAAUCGGAGAGACUGAGGUCUGACAGCGUAGACUCUUCGGGGUUAGAUACAUUUGUGCUAAGUUAUAGCUUUUUAUAGACAACUUGUUGACUAUAAUUAGUCUUGUAGCUUACUCGCUUAUGCUAUUUUACCUACGCUUAGGAUGUUGACGCAUGAGAUAUACGC
rnacentral:rRNA from 1 species